AUGUCCUUUUUAGAUCGAGCAACCUUGAGCUUACAGAGAAUUCAACAAUGUUUGAGUGAGCAUUAUGUCACAGUGGACGGACAGCAAUUGCACUGGCUCUUCCCUGGGAAGGAUUUAUUUGAUGGAUUGUUGAUGUUGUCUGAGGACAAGUCUGUUGAAACACUGUCAGCAUGUACAACAAAUGCAGGUGUGGCUGAUGUGUAUGUGGAGGAUCCGGCCGUGCAAGAUGAAGAAGUUAGUGAGGAAGAAGAUUGGGCUGAAGACGAUUAUGUAGCUACUGCUGAUGAGAAGAAGUCCGCAAAGGAAAAGCCAAUUGAUGUAGAAAGCAGCUCCGAUGAUAGUGACUUUGUGCCACCAGAUUGUUCAUCGGAUGACGAUGAGGCAGAUGCUAUUAAGCAAGAUUACAAGAAAUUCAAAAGGAGCAAGAAGAUGGCAGCUGAAAAACUUGCACUUGAGUAUGAGUUUGAAGCAUUGAAUGUAGUUAAACCUGAAGGCAAUUAUGAAGAUGACUCAAGUGCCGAAGAGGAUGAAUCUUAUGACGAGGAUAGUGAUGGUGAACUUAUCAAGCGUGAGUCUGAAUAUGCUAGGUUUAAUAAGAAAGCAUAA
rnacentral:rRNA from 1 species